GACGAACGCUGGCGGCGUGCUUAACACAUGCAAGUCGAACGGUAAGGCCCUUCGGGGUACACGAGUGGCGAACGGGUGAGUAACACGUGGGUGAUCUGCCCUGCACUUCGGGAUAAGCCCGGGAAACUGGGUCUAAUACCGGAUAGUACUGCGCGGUGCAUGCCGUGUGGUGGAAAGAUUUAUCGGUGCAGGAUGGGCCCGCGGCCUAUCAGCUUGUUGGUGGGGUAAUGGCCUACCAAGGCGACGACGGGUAGCCGGCCUGAGAGGGCGACCGGCCACACUGGGACUGAGACACGGCCCAGACUCCUACGGGAGGCAGCAGUGGGGAAUAUUGCACAAUGGGCGCAAGCCUGAUGCAGCGACGCCGCGUGAGGGAUGACGGCCUUCGGGUUGUAAACCUCUUUCAGCAGGGACGAAGCGCAAGUGACGGUACCUGCAGAAGAAGCACCGGCCAACUACGUGCCAGCAGCCGCGGUAAUACGUAGGGUGCAAGCGUUGUCCGGAAUUACUGGGCGUAAAGAGCUCGUAGGCGGUUUGUCGCGUCGUCUGUGAAAACCAGCAGCUCAACUGUUGGCUUGCAGGCGAUACGGGCAGACUUGAGUAUUUCAGGGGAGACUGGAAUUCCUGGUGUAGCGGUGAAAUGCGCAGAUAUCAGGAGGAACACCGGUGGCGAAGGCGGGUCUCUGGGAAAUAACUGACGCUGAGGAGCGAAAGCGUGGGUAGCGAACAGGAUUAGAUACCCUGGUAGUCCACGCCGUAAACGGUGGGCGCUAGGUGUGGGUUUCCUUCCACGGGAUCCGUGCCGUAGCUAACGCAUUAAGCGCCCCGCCUGGGGAGUACGGCCGCAAGGCUAAAACUCAAAGGAAUUGACGGGGCCCGCACAAGCGGCGGAGCAUGUGGAUUAAUUCGAUGCAACGCGAAGAACCUUACCUGGGUUUGACAUACACCGGAAAGCCGUAGAGAUACGGCCCCCCUUGUGGUCGGUGUACAGGUGGUGCAUGGCUGUCGUCAGCUCGUGUCGUGAGAUGUUGGGUUAAGUCCCGCAACGAGCGCAACCCUUGUCCUGUGUUGCCAGCGGAUAAUGCCGGGGACUCGCAGGAGACUGCCGGGGUCAACUCGGAGGAAGGUGGGGACGACGUCAAGUCAUCAUGCCCCUUAUGUCCAGGGCUUCACACAUGCUACAAUGGCCGGUACAGAGGGCUGCGAUACCGUGAGGUGGAGCGAAUCCCUUAAAGCCGGUCUCAGUUCGGAUCGGGGUCUGCAACUCGACCCCGUGAAGUCGGAGUCGCUAGUAAUCGCAGAUCAGCAACGCUGCGGUGAAUACGUUCCCGGGCCU
rnacentral:rRNA from 1 species